rnacentral:misc_RNA from 1 species
GAUGAAGAACGCAGCGAAAUGCGAUAAGUAGUGUGAAUUGCAGAAUUCAGUGAAUCAUCGAAUCUUUGAACGCACAUUGCGCCCUCUGGUAUUCCGGAGGGCAUGCCUGUUCGAGCGUCAUUAAAACUACUCAAGCUAAGGUUUUUUUACCUUCUGCUUGGUCUUGGGUUUGAGGAUUCAAAAUCCUCUCUCCGAAAUCCAGUGGCGAAUUGUUUGAGCUGUAGACGUAGUAAAUCAUUCUACCCGUUGCAAGCGAGAAUAAUAUUCAGCCAUAACCCCCAUACUUUUCUAGUUUGACCUCGGAUCAGGUAGGGAUACCCGCUGAACUUAAGCAUAUCAAUAAGCGGAGGA